UUCACUGGCGGUGACAACGCGCGUCUUGCUCUGGACCGACGACAACCUGAGAUGGUUUUGGGGACAAUCCUAAACUUCCAACCUGCAGAAUCCAGUGCUCAGCGUUCACAUUGCAAUGCUUCUGGACCCCUCCCCCAAAUCUGCCGCAAUUUUGUGAGAUAGGAGACAAUGGGAUGCCUUCUCUAUGCUCUGUGACUCAGGACCCUCAGGAGAAGAUACAAAGACCAGAGUCUCGACAAGCGAAGAUCAAAGAAGAAAGCAAGGUGAACCAAUGCCAGAGUGUCGUUAGCGACACCAGCCCCAGUGAAGCCCAAUGAAGACCACAGAGUGACAAGGUGAACCAAUGCCAGAGCUCGUCCACUGUCGGGUUAUACUUACACUCUUUCCAAACAUCACAUGUCCUCUCAAGCAUCUGUUCCAGCAAAGCAUCACAUGCUCUUUCACCAGACAGCUUCCAAAAAACACCAUGUGCCAUUCAGCAAAACAUUUUCUCACAUGUCUGCUUCACAAAACAGCCUCUCAUAAGACAGUUUAAAUAAAAAUAUCGCA